rnacentral:rRNA from 1 species
GACGAACGCUGGCGGCGUGCUUAACACAUGCAAGUCGAACGGAAAGGCCCUGCUUUUGUGGGGUGCUCGAGUGGCGAACGGGUGAGUAACACGUGAGUAACCUGCCCUUGACUUUGGGAUAACUUCAGGAAACUGGGGCUAAUACCGGAUAGGAGCUCCUGCUGCAUGGUGGGGGUUGGAAAGUUUCGGCGGUUGGGGAUGGACUCGCGGCUUAUCAGCUUGUUGGUGGGGUAGUGGCUUACCAAGGCUUUGACGGGUAGCCGGCCUGAGAGGGUGACCGGCCACAUUGGGACUGGGAUACGGCCCAGACUCCUACGGGAGGCAGCAGUGGGGAAUAUUGCACAAUGGGCGGAAGCCUGAUGCAACAACGCCGCGUGCGGGAUGACGGCCUUCGGGUUGUAAACCGCUUUCGCCUGUGACGAAGCGUGAGUGACGGUAAUGGGUAAAGAAGCACCGGCUAACUACGUG